UACGUAGGGUCCGAGCGUUGUCCGGAAUUACUGGGCGUAAAGGGUGCGUAGGCGGGUCUUUAAGUCAGGGGUGAAAUCCUGGAGCUCAACUCCAGAACUGCCUUUGAUACUGAAGAUCUUGAGUUCGGGAGAGGUGAGUGGAACUGCGAGUGUAGAGGUGAAAUUCGUAGAUAUUCGCAAGAACACCAGUGGCGAAGGCGGCUCACUGGCCCGAUACUGACGCUGAGGCACGAAAGCGUGGGGAGCAAACAGG
rnacentral:rRNA from 1 species